CACACCGCUCAACCCCACAACCGACAGUGACCCCAAUCCAGCCACGAUUGCGAGUCCCGCCAAGAAGAUCAAGAACAACAUCCACAGGGUCAUGAAGACCCACGCCAAGAAGAUGCCCACGAUGCCUCCGCCGGGUCGGUAUUACUAUCGCAGUAGUAGAGCUUGUGCGCAAGGACUGCCGGAGGUCUCCGGCACGGCGGAAGACGAAGCAGGGGGCAAUGAGCACCGCCCCGCCUAGCGACCGUUUGGUUCGCUAGCAGUCCUCACGGGCGGCAGCCGAUGACCUAGUCGGCGUUUCCGAGCGCUGCGUUCUUCAUCGAUGC
rnacentral:misc_RNA from 1 species